UGAUAAAAGGGGAGUCUAACCCCCUGAGUGGGUCUACAGCCCACCGCCUGUUCGCUCGGCCAUUUUACC
rnacentral:tRNA from 1 species